UACGGAGGGUGCGAGCGUUGUCCGGAAUCACUGGGCGUAAAGGGCGCGUAGGCGGCCUGAUAAGUAGGGGGGUGAAAUCCUGCGGCUUAACCGCAGGGCUGCCUUCUAAACUGUCGGGCUCGAGCACAGUAGAGGCAGGUGGAAUUCCCGGUGUAGCGGUGGAAUGCGUAGAGAUCGGGAAGAACAUCAGUGGCGAAGGCGGCCUGCUGGGCUGUUGCUGACACUGAGGCGCGACAGCGUGGGGAGCAAACAGG
rnacentral:rRNA from 1 species